rnacentral:rRNA from 1 species
AACGAACGCUGGCGGCAUGCCUAACACAUGCAAGUCGAACGAGACCUUCGGGUCUAGUGGCGCACGGGUGCGUAACGCGUGGGAACCUGCCCUUAGGUUCGGAAUAACUCCCCGAAAGGGGUGCUAAUACCGGAUAAUGUCUUCGGACCAAAGAUUUAUCGCCUUUGGAUGGGCCCGCGUUGGAUUAGCUAGUUGGUAGGGUAAAAGCCUACCAAGGCGACGAUCCAUAGCUGGUCUGAGAGGAUGAUCAGCCACACUGGGACUGAGACACGGCCCAGACUCCUACGGGAGGAAGGGGGGGGGAAUAGAGAAAAGGGGGGGAAGGCCUGAACGACCACGGCCGGGGGAGUGAUGAAGGUCUGGGGGUAGAAAAGUUUUUUUACCCGGGAUGAUAAUGACAGUACCGGAAGAAAAAGCCCCGGCUAACUCCGUG